rnacentral:pre_miRNA from 2 species
CAUAUACUCCCUCCGUCCGAAAAUACUUGUCUUAAAAAUGCAUGUAUCUAGACUUAUUUUAGUUAUAGAUACAUCUAUUUUAUUCAUUUUUAGGACAAGUAUUUUCGGACGGAGGGAGUAGAAU